CGUGGCGGACGGGUGAGUAACGCGUGGGUAACCGUGCCAUAUACAGGGGAGUAACACUUAGAAAUAGGUGCUAAUACCGCAUAAGCGCACAGGGGCGCAUGCCCCGGUGUGAAAAACUCCGGUGGUAUAUGAUGGACCCGCGUCUGAUUAGCCAGUUGGCAGGGUAACGGCCUACCAAAGCGACGAUCAGUAGCCGGCCUGAGAGGGCGGACGGCCACAUUGGGACUGAGACACGGCCCAAACUCCUACGGAAGGCAGCAG
rnacentral:rRNA from 1 species